rnacentral:lncRNA from 1 species
AUGCUUUUUAACAUCUUUAUGCGCCCCCUCGCCCAGCUUGUCCGGAGUUUUGGGCUGGGUUGCCAUCAGUAUGCCGAUGACACCCAACUCUAUCUGUUGAUGGAUGGCCAUCCUGACUCGGCCCCAGACACACUGACCAGAUGUUUGGAAGCUGUGGCUGGAUGGUUACGUGGAAGCCGGUUGAAGUUAAAUCCUUCGAAGACAGAGGUCCUCUGGCUGGGACGGGACGAUAUGGGAUUGGGGGCAACUCCCAUCUCUUGCGGGGUGCAAUUAGUGCCAGCACCGUCCGUUAAGAGUUUGGGUGUAAUCUUCGAUACCUCCUUUCUAUGGAGGCGCAGAUUACAGCUAUAACAAAGGUGGCAUUUUUCAUCUCCGCCAAGCUAAGCAGUUGGCCCCUUAUCUCUCUCGCCCUGACCUAGCCACUGUGAUCCACGCGACGGUCACCUCCAGACUGGAUUAUUGUAACUCGCUCUACGUGGGGCUGCCCUUGAGACUGACCCAGAAACUCCAGCGGGUGCAGAAUGCCGCGGCGAGACUCCUUAUGGGGUCUUCGCUGCGAGAUCACAUUCAUCCGGUACUAUACCAGCUGCACUGGCUCCCGGUGGAGUACAGGAUCAGGUUUAAGGUGCUGGUUUUAACCUUUAAAGCCCUAUACGGCCUAGGACCCUCGUACCCUACGGGACCGCCUCUCCUGGUAUGCCCCACAGAGGAACCUACGGUCUGCAAAUAAAAACAUCCUGAAGGUCCCAGGCCUCAGAGAGGUUAGGCUGGCCUCAACUAGAGCCAGGGCUUUCUCGGCUGCGGCUCCAAUCUGGUGGAACGCUCUGUCACAAGAGACUAGGGCCCUGCAGGACCUGACAUCUUUCCGCAGGGCCUGUAAGACAGAGCUGUUCCACCAGGCCUUUGGUCAGGGCCCAGCCUGACUCCCUCCUCUGGCAACCUGCACAGAACUUUGCUUAACGGUUGCCAUUAAUUUGAUUUUAAUUAAUUUUUAUAAUGAAAUGUUUUAGAAUGUUGGAUUAUUUGAUUGUUUGAUUAUUUGAUUGUUGUUAGCCGCCCUGAGCCUGGCUUUGGCUGGGGAGGGCGGGAUAUAAAUAAAAU